UGUGCUAUACUUCAAUACAACAUUUAAAAAUUACAAAUAGAUGUUCCUGUGUGUUUAACUUGAAUACCUGAAGAUUUAUCAAAGUAUAUAACCAGGUACAGCUUUUUAACUAGUAAGUAUAAUGUUUUUUAAGUUUAUUUAUUUAUUUUUUUUAGUAAUCUUUACACCUGACACAGGGGUCAAACUCAUGACCCGAGAUCAAGAGUCACAUGCUCUUCUGACUGAGCCAGCCAGGUGCCCCUAAACUACUGUUACAUAGUGACAUGGUUUGCACCUUCAGCCAUCAAGGCGGUUGAAAAAGAAAAUAAUCUGUCCCUCUGGAUUCUAGUUAUGGCUCUGCACCCCAGCACCUGUAAACUCAAAGUCAAAACUCCAUGGAUGCCUGGAUUCCAAGAUUAAACCUCUACUCACAAGCAAAAGAGUUGGUUGGAUAGGAGGCCUUGAACUUCAUCUGUGGACUCUAAAAAAUGCAAAAGAGCUGGAGAGAAAUGGCUACCUGCUGUGGAAGACCAGGCCCACCCUGUAUCCUCAGCCCUCUGCUCUCUCGACUUUGGGCCUAAAACUAUGUGUGAACAAGAAGAGCAGCUGUCACUAUAUGUAUGAAGGCACCCAGCUGGGGGUGGACAACAUCGAGACCUGCAUCCAGAAGACAUUUUGUGGCUCCAAGGAAGGACAAGGUCCUAGGCAUGAGGUUGCAGGGGAAUAAAUUCCCUCCAGCUGCAUCCAAAUGGGAUGCUUGACCAGACUGUCAGCUUGCUCCCUGGUAUUACCACCCCAUACUGAAAAGCAAUCCACAUAAGGAGCUCCAGCACCAGCGAAAGGUAAUGCAAAGAAGAGAGGAGAGAAAAGGCUUCCGGGUUCACCUUUCCCACCAUCUAGGGAAAGCACUAGAGAAUGAAGGUCAGCAUAAACAGAAGGACUCCUUUCCCUAAACUAAAAGCAGAAGAG
rnacentral:tRNA from 1 species